rnacentral:rRNA from 1 species
UACGUAGGGUGCAGGCGUUAAUCGGAAUUACUGGGCGUAAAGCGUGCGCAGGCGGUUUGCUAAGCCAGGUGUGAAAUCCCCGGGCUUAACCUGGGAACUGCGCUUGUAACUGGCAAGCUAGAGUGUGGCAGAGGGGGGUGGAAUUCCACGUGUAGCAGUGAAAUGCGUAGAGAUGUGGAGGAACACCGAUGGCGAAGGCAGCCCCCUGGGCUAACACUGACGCUCAUGCACGAAAGCGUGGGGAGCAAACAGG